rnacentral:rRNA from 1 species
AGCCAGGAGGAAAGGUUAGUAGUUAAUACCUGCUCGCGGUGACGUUACUGACAGAAGAAGCACCGGCUAACUCCGUGCCAGCAGCCGCGGUAAUACGGAGGGUGCGAGCGUUAAUCGGAAUUACUGGGCGUAAAGCGUACGCAGGCGGUUUGUUAAGCGAGAUGUGAAAGCCCCGGGCUCAACCUGGGAACUGCAUUUCGAACUGGCAAACUAGAGUGUGAUAGAGGGUGGUAGAAUUUCAGGUGUAGCGGUGAAAUGCGUAGAGAUCUGAAGGAUUACCGAUGGCGAAGGCAGCCACGUGGGUCAACACUGACGCUCAUGUCCGAAAGCGUGGGGAGCACACAGGA